AAAAUAACAGCUUUUUUGGAGAUAAAAUUUUUUGUAUUAUAUCAGCACAGAGGGCCCGAGAGGACAAAUACCGCAGGUUCAGCCUUGGCAACUCAGCAUCCGAUCUUGGUCUAUUGGGAUGGUGGAAAAGGAUUCCAUCUUGAGAUUUAUCGUUAUGAGUAUGUAGGUUCAAGUCUAUAUUAUGUCAUGUUAUCAGUUUGAGUAAAAUAUUAUAAAUUUUUUAUUUUAUCUCUAAGUGAAAAUGUUUAAUCCGUUUAUAGAUUUUUUUCCUAAGUGAUUAAUUCAAUUAACUACAAGAACAAGAAGAAAAUUUUUCAUUAACAUGAUAAAACUUAUAUAUUUUUAACAUACUACUUUUUUCUUUUUAACUACUCAAUUGACAUAUUGCUGUCAAACUAGCACACUUUUCAUUUCAAAGAUUUGAUUUCCUUUUGUUUUAGCUUCAUUCAUGUGUUUAUGUAACUAUAACAAGUGUUAAAGUUUUUUGGGGGUAUUUUUUAACGAGGCUAUAAUUGCGAGCGCCAGAUGGCGUCGUCGUAACCCUUGUUUUUCUAGGGAACGCCUACCCGCCAUAGGAGGUAUCUGAGUUUACAGGCCUUAACCAUUAAGUAGGCCUUGGGAAGGGUAGGCCUUCUGACCGUUUUUUAAUGGUCACGCCUAUUUCCCCCCGGCAGCCGGGGGGCGCUAAUGUCAAAAUGUACUAUUUCCCCCCGGCUGCGGGGGCGCUAGUGACAAAACUGUCUAUUUCCCCCCGGCCAGUGCGGCGUUGGUGUUUAAAUAGCUAUUGCACACCUGAAUCAGUGAACACAAUCAGGUGGAUGCUACGGGAAAAUACAGUAGUUGUUACUUCAA